rnacentral:sRNA from 1 species
GCCAGGUGCAGUGGUGCACACCUGUAAUCCCAGCAGCUCUGGAGGCUGAGGCAGGAGGAUCAUGAGUUCAAAGCCAGACUCAGCAAUGGCGAGGCACUAAGCAACUCACUGAGACCCUGUCUCUA